rnacentral:rRNA from 1 species
AAAGAACUUUGAAGAGAGAGUUCAAGAGUACGUGAAACCGUUCAGGGGUAAACCUGCGAAACUCGAAUGAACGAACGGAGAGAUUCAUCGUCAUUCCUCGGCGUACGGACGCGCGCCUCGAUGCCUUCGGUCGUUUCACGGCCGUUGGCACGGGUCGCGUCCGUCGACGUCCGAGGACGGCGUGCACUUCUCUCUUAGUAAAUACAUCGCGACCCGUUCGAUGUCGGUCUAAGCGCCGUACGGGAGCCCCGUUGACCCUUCGCGGGGCCAGUGGGACCGCGACGGUGGCCGACCGGCCGUCGGACGGUAGUUCUGACGAAUCGCGCACGCGUUCUGUACGCGUCCGGCCCGACGCAAGUCAACGUCGUAUCAUACGUCUACGCCAUAGUGCGGACGUGUGUGCGGCGCGUCUGGUGUCGCAGCCGUGCUGUCUCGGACUGUGCGCGUCUCUGUCUGCGAUGAUUCAGUUUCGGGCACUCGCAGGACCCGUCUUGAAACACCGGACCAAA